GUGGUUGUGGCUCAGCGGCAGAGCGCUUGCCUAGCAUGUGUGAAGCACUGGGUUCAAUCCUCAGCACCAUA
rnacentral:tRNA from 1 species